AGAAAAGGAAGGCACAAGAAAAAGACACAAGAAGAAGAAAAGACGAGAUACAAGAAUGUGUAGAAGAUAGAGAAAAAAAUGAAAGAAGAAAAAGAUGCGAUGUAAAGAAAGAAAAUACAAAAUAAACACAAAAACUACAAUAAUAAAGAAAAAGUAUAUAGACACGAAAGAAUGAAAGGAAGGAAGGAAAAGGGUGGUGUGGUGGUAAAAAAAUACAUAGGAUCAAAGAAAAAAUAAAGAAGGAAAGACAAAAAAUGUAAUAGAAACAAUACAAAAUGAAAAAAAGAACGAAAUUGAAGAAGUUUAACUGGUUUGUUUAACAAUACUGAAGUAGUUUAAAAUAUAUCUUUAAAAAAACUUGUGGCAGACGAUCCGACUCGGAGGUCCAGACGACAUUUUGUGGUGGGGCAGACGACACAUAUCUCUUCGUUUUUUAUGUUUUAGAAGACAGAAACAAACUCUACAAUAUCUAUGUUGAAAUACUCCAUACACCACCACCACCACCACUACCACCACCACCGCCACCACCGCCGCCACCACAGCCCAUAGCUGUCGUAUGUUAUUGUCAUCGCUGUCGGCGCCUUCUUAGGUAUUAUUGGAUAUUACAUAUUACCGAAGCUGAAAACUUGCGUGAACAACAAAAGCAGCAACAUUGAGACCACCAGGUAUAUUAACAGCAGCGUCAACAGCUAUAACAACAACAGUAACAACAAUAAUAACGACAACAACAACAGCAACAGAAAUAUUUGCAACAUUACUGUGAACUACAUAUAUAUAUAUACUAAAAAGAACAGAAGUGCUACCACCACCACCACCACCAACAGCAACAAGAAACACCAUUAACAGCAGCAGCACCAUCCCCCGCCACCAUCAGUACCGACAAGAGUAACUGCAAGGGGUUAAUUACAUCGACAACAAAUAAGGACAACAUCGUUCACCAGGAACACUUUACAUCAACGCACCAACAACAACAUUAACAGACGUUGCAACCGCAAACAUCAACGAUUGAAAACGAAACAAAAAAAAAACAAAAACAAAAAGAAAUACCCCCCCCCCUCACCCGAAAAAACAAAAGAAAAUAAACAAAAA